rnacentral:rRNA from 1 species
CGCGUAGGUGGUUUGUUAAGAUCGAUGUGAAAGCCCUGGGCUUAACCUAGGAAGGCCAUUGAAGACUGGCAAGCUGGAGUACUGUAGAGGGUAGUGGAAUUUCCGGUGUAGCAGUGAAAUGCGUAGAGAUCGGAAGGAACAUCGGUGGCGAAGGCGGCUACCUGGACAGCUACUGACACUGAGGCGCGAGAGCGUGGGGAGCAAACAGGAUUAGAUACCCUGGUAGUCCACGCUGUAAACGAUGAAGACUAGAUGUUGGGCAGCAUGACUGUUUAGUAUCGAAGCUAACGCGAUAAGUCUUCCGCCUGGGGAGUACGGCCGCAAGGUUAAA